GUUUUCAUAGCUUAACUAAAGCAUAGCACUGAAAAUGCUAAGAUGAGCCCUAACAUAGGCCCUUAAAACA
rnacentral:tRNA from 1 species